UGCGAGCGUUAAUCGGAAUUACUGGGCGUAAAGCGCAUGCAGGUGGUUUGUUAAGUCAGAUGUGAAAGCCCGGGGCUCAACCUCGGAAUUGCAUUUGAAACUGGCAAACUAGAGUACUGUAGAGGGGGUAGAAUUUCAGGUGUAGCGGUGAAAUGCGUAGAGAUCUGAAGGAAUACCGGUGGCGAAGGCGGCCCCCUGGACAGAUACUGACACUCAGAUGCGAAAGCGUGGGGAGCAAACAGGAUUAGAUACCCUGGUAG
rnacentral:rRNA from 1 species